CUCUCUCUCAUUCUUUCUCUCUUCUUGCAUGUCUCCUCUCCCCCUCUCCUUACCUCCAUCCUUCCUCCACUUCCUCUCCGCCUCACCCAUACCAGGGUCAGAGCAGCUAAUGAGUGUCCAGCAGCGGCCCGGCAGUGUGUGUGUGUGUGUGUGUGUGUGUGUGUGUGUGUGUGUGUGUGUGUGUGUGUGUGUGUGUGUGUGUGUGUGUGUGUGUGUGUGUGUGUGUGUGUGUGUGUGUGUGUGGGGGAGGAGAUCUGUCGGGCCCUGCCUCAGAUGUAGGUCACCCCUUGGAGCCCUGUUCAGGGUCUUGGGGGGAAAAAGAAGCAUCUGGUUCUCUCCUAUACAAUGAUAGUCCUGUUCAGUGCCCCACACACACACACACACACACACACACACACAUUGACGCAUCGAAACAUGCUGCCACCCUCAGAUGAAUUCCCCUGCCAUGACCCAUUCGCAUGCCAGUGCGAUGUCUGCAGCUUAGUCACCAAGCCACAGUUUGCCACAGUGACCCAGCUCCUGCUGAGGAUGUGGUUUAUUGCGCCCACGCCCAUCUCUCAGGUCUGCGCCCACGCCCAUCUCUCAGGUCUGCGCCCACGCCCAUCUCUCAGGUCUGCGCCCACGCCCAUCUCUCAGGUGUGUCUCUGGCGUGGGCGUAGGAGGGAGCAGCAGCUCUCAGUGAUUCACGUCCGCUUCCGUUUCAUUCAGUGGGAUGCCAUGAUGGCCUGUGAGUUCCAGUUAUGGCACCCCUCUUUAGCUGAUGUGAGUACUGGCGAAGAGGUGCUAGCAGAGGACCGCCACCAGAGAGAGAGAGAGAGAGAGAGAGAGAGAGAGAGAGAGAGGGAGGGAUGGAAAGGGAGGGAAGGAAGGAGAGAGUGAGGAGGGAGAGAGGGGAGUGAUGGCUUCUCGUCUUCCUGUCUGGCUGUUUGCACAACUGUCUGGGAACAGAAAGCUCGAUGAGUCGGCCUGGGUAUUCGACUGCACAUCCAGAAAGCCAACACCCUCCAUCUGAAACCAUGCUGGGAAUUCAUGUCUGGGCCUCCCCAAGGUUAAACCCUUGCAUGAAACCUUCUGUGCAGCUCAGAUAUGUGAAACUGUCUCUCUCGCUCUCUCUGUCUCAGACUUGACUCUUCAGAUACUACCUGAAUGCUGGACACAUUUCUCUUGUCAGCCUGAAUUCUGUCUGCGUCUCUGAAAGGUCUAACGCCC
ensembl:lncRNA